rnacentral:rRNA from 1 species
UACGUAGGUGCAAGCGUUAAUCGGAAUUACUGGGCGUAAAGCGUGCGCAGGCGGUGAUGUAAGACGGGUGUGAAAUCCCCGGGCUUAACCUGGGAACUGCAUUUGUGACUGCAUCGCUGGAGUGCGGCAGAGGGGGAUGGAAUUCCGCGUGUAGCAGUGAAAUGCGUAGAUAUGCGGAGGAACACCGAUGGCGAAGGCAAUCCCCUGGGCCUGCACUGACGCUCAUGCACGAAAGCGUGGGGAGCAAACAGG